GUUAAAACUCAAAUGAAUUGACGGGGGCCCGCACAAGCGGUGGAGCAUGUGGUUUAAUUCGAUGCAACGCGAAGAACCUUACCUACUCUUGACAUCCAGAGAACUUUCCAGAGAUGGAUUGGUGCCUUCGGGAGCUCUGAGACAGGUGCUGCAUGGCUGUCGUCAGCUCGUGUUGUGAAAUGUUGGGUUAAGUCCCGCAACGAGCGCAACCCUUAUCCUUGUUUGCCAGCACGUAAAGGUGGGAACUCCAGGGAGACUGCCGGUGAUAAACCGGAGGAAGGUGGGGACGACGUCAAGUCAUCAUGGCCCUUACGAGUAGGGCUACACACGUGCUAC
rnacentral:rRNA from 1 species